GUAAUCGCGGAUCAGCAUGCCGCGGUGAAUACGUUCCCGGGCCUUGUACACACCGCCCGUCACACCAUGAGAGUCGGGAACACCCGAAGUCCGUGAGCUAACUAUUUAUAGAGGUAGCAGUCGAAGGUAGAAUCAAUGAUUGGGGUGAAGUCGUAACAAGGUAAC
rnacentral:rRNA from 1 species